rnacentral:rRNA from 1 species
CGAAAGCCUGACGGAGCAAGACCGCGUGGGGGAGGAAUGCCUUAGGGUUGUAAACCCCUUUUAUCUGGGAAGAACAAAAUGACGGUACCAGAUGAAUAAGCCUCGGCUAACUCCGUGCCAGCAGCCGCGGUAAUACGGAGGAGGCAAGCGUUAUCCGGAUUUAUUGGGCGUAAAGCGUCCGCAGGUGGUUCUUCAAGUCUGCUGUCAAAGCACGGGGCUUAACUCCGUAAAGGCAGUGGAAACUGAAUAGCUAGAGUGCCGUAGGGGUAGAGGGAAUUCCCGGUGUAGCGGUGAAAUGCGUAGAGAUUGGGAAGAACACCGGUGGCGAAAGCGCCCUACUGGGCCAUAACUGACACUGAGGGACGAAAGCUAGGGGAGCG